AAGAACCCAGCAGCAACCAAAGAGCAGAACAAAACUCCAUGGCAGCAUUAGGCUUCAGGUGGCCAUGGGUCUUGUCAAAGAAACAGAAGUGGAGGCAAAAUUUCAAAAUGACACAAAGAGGCAUCUAUUUGUACCAGGCACCAAGUGGUCAGAUGGUUGAAGAUCUAUCUGGGAAGUACAGAAACAUGUGAGAUUGGUAUGGGAUUACCUGGGCAGCAACAUAAUGUAAGGGAGAGAGGGAUGUCAGGGGACCUUGGCUGGGUGUCUGCUCAACGUCCACAUCCCAUCUACCAGCCUCCUCUUAGGAAUGUGGCUCUCCUGGCCAGGCAGCGACGAAUACUGUGUGUGCUAUUUCCCAAACUUCUUGGAUCACAAAAGCUAGUCAGGGAAUGUGCGGCAGAAGCAACUCUGCUGGAGGGACCCCGGCCUGGCUGAGACCCUGUGGGAAGCCGCACAUCUCGGCCUGCUCCAGUUCCAGUGCCGUCCUGAGUUCCAUCCUGAGGUCCAGUUCCAUCAUGAGUGCUGGAACUGUAGCCUGGAGGCAGGAUGGGCCCCCUCAGGAGAGGUGGGGAGGAGGGCCGGGGAGGAGGGCCGGGGAGGAGGAGGGCUGGGGGAAGAAAGCUGAGGGGAGGAGGAGGCUGGGAGAGGCCACCCUUUCCUCUUCCCUGGCCCCUGUGUCCAGGCCACACUGCCCUUCCUGCCCUAGCACAGUCCCAGAUGAGAAGAGUCCUGGGAGGUAA
rnacentral:lncRNA from 1 species